rnacentral:rRNA from 1 species
AACGUAGGAGACAAACGUUAUCCGGAGUUACUGGGCGUAAAGGGCGCGUAGGCGGCCUUGUAAGUCCCGUGUGAAAUCCCUCGGCUCAACUGAGGAACUGCACGGGAAACUGCUUGGCUUGAGUUCGGGAGAGGGGAGCGGAAUUCCGGGUGUAGCGGUGAAAUGCGUAGAUAUCCGGAGGAACACCGGUGGCGAAGGCGGCUUCCUGGACCGACACUGACGCUGAGGCGCGAAAGCUAGGGGAGCAAACGGG